UGCCAUGGGGCGACCCAGAGCGGAACCCGAAAACCUGUCUCAGUUCGGAUUGGAGUCUGCAACCCGACUCCAUGAAGCUGGAUUCGCUAGUAAUCGCGCAUCAGCCACGGCGCGGUGAAUACGUUCCCGGGCCUUGUACACACCGCCCGUCAAGCCAUGGGAGCCGGGGGUGCCUGAAGGCCGUGACCGCGAGGAGCGGCCUAGGGUAAAACUGGUGACUGGGGCUAAGUCGUAACAAGGUAUC
rnacentral:rRNA from 1 species